ensembl:lncRNA
ACUUAAGGGAACGCAGCCAUCAGCAGUGCCUGCACCAUGACACAGGCAGCACCUGCUCCUUCAGCUUCAUUUGCCUAUUCUCUCUCGAAUCCUUUCUCCGAAGCGUUCACCUGCUCCUCUUCUCCUACCACCUCCUGGCACAACUAGACUGGCUGUGACUCAUUUGAAAUACUCUACAGAGAUGCUACCUGGCACUAGGGAUGCACUUCUGUGCCUAAGCUGCAAUCAACUGCCUUCCAAAAGGAUGUGUUUUGAUUAAUGAGGUGCAUAACAUCUGAAACUGAUGCGGCUUCUUCAACACAGCCCUUAAUGUUCCCAGAGAAUGACAGAGCAAUAGAGGACGUGCUCAAGGAAUCAAGCUGUUUGUCCUCUUUCAGCUAUACUAUUCUAGCCUGCCCUCGGAAAAUACCCACACUCUAUUUCUUGGUCUUUCUGGGAUGAUUCUCUAAGUGCUGCCUUAUUCGAUGACACAAAUAAGAUUCUCUUAGAGCCCUGAGGUGGGGAGAGAACACUGCAGAGCAUCCAAGCAGCAGAAUGCUCCUUCAUCACUUCUGCAGCUAAGAAAGAAAAUGAUCAGGUGCAAAGACUGAGUCAGGCUGCCUGGCACACUGCUGCACGAUGACAGAAGCAUGCAGACAUCCUGGUGUUCAGACCUCUGACUAGCACUCCCCAACCCACUAAUGUCCAGUUUAUAUAUGGGGCAGAUGAUUCCUAAGAUACAGAUAAGUUUUUAAAAUUAUUGUUUGGGGACUACUCCUGUUACCUUUGAAACUGUCUGUAAAACUCUUUAGUAUCACACUUGCUUGAAGCAAUUUUUCAGCACAUCAUUUUAGCAAUUAUUAUAGUCCCAUUUUGAAUAAAAAAUGCUUAACCUGAAAUGAGAAAGUUAGUGCUGUCUCGAAUCUAGGCCUCAUCAAAUACAUAACCCAAAACAAGAAUGUGAAUUCUCAUGUAGCUCUGUCAGCAAGGGCAGGUUCCUAAACACUUCUAACACUUGGCUCCAGGAGUCACAGGUACCCAACUCAGAGGAAGAUUCAAAGUCCUUAAAAUGUAAUGACAAUUUGGUAUCCAGAGGAUUUCAAAGUAAUUAUAUUUUAUUUGAGAGUCUUCCAAGAAUAAAGUGCAGGAGACAAGGAGAAUUAUCCUUGUCUAAAUGGUAUGGAACUAUCACGGCCAUUAUUUAUUAUUGACAUUAUGGCAAUGCUUUCCACGUUAGCAAAUGGUCCUUUUAGGCAGGUUUUCAGAACACUUCAGAAAAGCUGUGCCUGUUGCUGCGUUAGGACUGUUCUAUCAUUGGCUGCACAGGACAUUCAAAGGGGGUAUAGGGAACCCACCUGCCAGGGAAGGGGAAAACACUUUCUGAGGGAAAUGAUCUCUUUUUUUAACAUUUUUGUCAAAUACUGCUCCAGACCUGUCAUAGAUACUAAGGGAGUAGAUGUAGCAGGGAGAAUGCAG